UACAGAGGUCCCAAGCGUUGUUCGGAUUCACUGGGCGUAAAGGGUGCGUAGGCGGUCUGGUAAGUCUGACGUGAAAUCUCCGGGCCUAACCCGGAAACUGCGUCGGAUACUAUCCGGCUAGAGGAUUGGAAGGGAGACUGGAAUACUUGGUGUAGCAGUGAAAUGCGUAGAUAUCAAGUGGAACACCAGUGGCGAAGGCGAGUCUCUGGACAAUUCCUGACGCUGAGGCACGAAAGCCAGGGGAGCAAACGGU
rnacentral:rRNA from 1 species